CUGAAUAAUUCUGUUCCUGCUAACAUUGACCCAAAAUGAGUUGAGGAUGUUUAUUCUCUUGCUUAUUUAAGAUGGCUCAGGGUAAAAAAAAUAAGGCAGCAGAACAAUGAAAUUUCCUUAGUGGCAUGUGAUCGUCAAGGCAAAAUAUUACAGGUACAUACCAAGCAAAAUUAGCAUGCUACCACUAGUAUGCUCUUCCUGUGUAACACAGUAUCCCUGUUUGGUUAUUCGGCACCAAAACCAGGGUAGAAACGAGGACAGUCAAUAGCAACAUAGGACAAUUUCAAGGUGUCUAAAAUCUGGAACCUUUUUAACAGUUAUGUUGGUGGCACGGUCAGAUGACUUGCAGGAGGUGAAGAUUUUUGUGCAUCCUGGAGCACAGCUCGGACAGGGUGGCCAGUG